CGUUUCUUUGCUGGCGACCGGCGCACGGGUGAGUAACACGUAUCCAACCUGCCUUUACUCGGGGAUAGCCUUUCGAAAGAAAGAUUAAUACCCGAUAGCAUAAUGAUUCCGCAUGGUUUCAUUAUUAAAGGAUUCCGGUAAAGGAUGGGGAUGCGUUCCAUUAGGUUGUUGGUGAGGUAACGGCUCACCAAGCCUUCGAUGGAUAGGGGUUCUGAGAGGAAGGUCCCCCACAUUGGAACUGAGACACGGUCCAA
rnacentral:rRNA from 1 species